rnacentral:rRNA from 1 species
GACGAACGCUGGCGGCGUGCUUAACACAUGCAAGUCGAACGGAAAGGCCCUGCUUGCAGGGUGCUCGAGUGGCGAACGGGUGAGUAACACUUGGGUGAUCUGCCCCUUACUUUGGGAUAAGCCUGGGAAACUGGGUCUAAUACUGGAUAGGACCAUGCUGUAGGUGGUGUGGUGGAAAGAUUAGUUUCGGUAAGGGGUGAGCUCGCGGCCUAUCAGCUUGUUGGUGGGGUAAUGGCCUACCAAGGCGUCGACGGGUAGCCGGCCUGAGAGGGUGGACGGCCACAUUGGGACUGAGAUACGGCGCAGACGCCUACGGGAGGCAGCAGUGGGGGAUAGUGCACAAUGGGCGCAAGCCUGAUGCAGCGACGCCGCGUGGGGGGUGACGGCCUUCGGGUUGUAAACUCCUUUCAGCCAUGACGAAGCCCUUGUGGUGACGGUAGUGGUAGAAGAAGCACCGGCUAACUACGUG